CAAAAACAUAGCUAUGUGAUAUCACGGAUAGUAUUUUCUGCUCAAUGAGUCUUAAAUAGCCGCAGUACCCUGACUGUGCAAAGGUAGCGUAAUCAGUUGUCUUUUAAUUAAAGUCUUGUAUCAACGAACAUAUGGGGGCCCGCUUUACCAAUAAUAUUUAAUGAAUUUACUAAGGAAGUGAAAAUACUUCCCUGAUUUAAUAGACGAGAAGACCCUAGAAAUUUUUACUAAUGUUUUUGUUGGGGCAACAUAGUAACAUAAAACUUACUCUAUGGACAAGAAAAGAUUGUGGCAGAUAAAAUUACUCUAGGGAUAACAGCAUAAUGUAAAAUCGUUUGUGACCUCGAUGUUGGAUUAGGGAAUUAUAGCUUAAAAGGUAUUUAAUUUUGCUCUGUUC
rnacentral:rRNA from 1 species